UACGUAGGGUGCGAGCGUUGUCCGGAAUUACUGGGCGUAAAGAGCUCGUAGGUGGUUUGUCGCGUUGUUCGUGAAAACCGGGGGCUUAACCCUCGGCGUGCGGGCGAUACGGGCAGACUGGAGUACUGCAGGGGAGACUGGAAUUCCUGGUGUGGCGGUGGAAUGCGCAGAUAUCAGGAGGAACACCGGUGGCGAAGGCGGGUCUCUGGGCAGUAACUGACGCUGAGGAGCGAAAGCGUGGGGAGCGAACAGG
rnacentral:rRNA from 1 species